UACGUAGGUGGCAAGCGUUGUCCGGAUUUACUGGGCGUAAAGAGCGCGCAGGCGGUCGUUCAAGUCGCGUGUGAAAGCCCCCGGCUCAACUGGGGAGGGUCACGCGAUACUGAUCGACUCGAAGGCAGGAGAGGGUAGUGGAAUUCCCGGUGUAGUGGUGAAAUGCGUAGAUAUUGGGAGGAACACCAGUGGCGAAGGCGGCUCACUGGACUGGUACUAACGCUGAGGCGCGAAAGCGUGGGGAGCAAACGGG
rnacentral:rRNA from 1 species